rnacentral:rRNA from 1 species
GUGGUAAUGCCGGAUGUUCCACAUGAGCGCAUGCGAGUGUGGGAAAGGCUUUUUGCGGCAUGGGAUGGGGUCGCGUCCUAUCAGCUUGUUGGUGGGGUAACGGCCUACCAAGGCGUUGACGGGUAGCCGGCCUGAGAGGGCGACCGGCCACAUUGGGACUGAGAUACGGCCCAGACUCCUACGGGAGGCAGCAGUGGGGAAUAUUGCACAAUGGGCGCAAGCCUGAUGCAGCGACGCCGCGUGCGGGAUGGAGGCCUUCGGGUUGUAAACCGCUUUUGUUCAAGGGCAAGGCACGGUCUUUGGCCGUGUUGAGUGGAUUGUUCGAAUAAGCACCGGCUAACUACGUGCCAGCAGCCGCGGUAAUACGUAGGGUGCAAGCGUUAUCCGGAUUUAUUGGGCGUAAAGGGCUCGUAGGCGGUUCGUCGCGUCCGGUGUGAAAGUCCAUCGCUUAACGGUGGAUCCGCGCCGGGUACGGGCGGGCUUGAGUGCGGUAGGGGAGACUGGAAUUCCCGGUGUAACGGUGGAAUGUGUAGAUAUC